rnacentral:lncRNA from 1 species
AACAAAAUUCUCAAUCAAACACAUAUAAACCCACUUCAGCACAUACAUUUACAAAAUUGAAUAAAAAAUUGUAAAACUUAUAGUCACAGACUCAGAGAGACAAAGAGAAGGGGCUCCGGUGACAGGCUCACAUGCAAUGGAGAUGGCCAAGCUCACAGCGACGGCAACCAAGAGAUGAAUCUGUGGAAGAACAAAAAAGAACUUAGAUCUCACAAUAUGAUGGAGAGGGAGAGAGAGAGAGAAAGCGCGCACGAGAGAACAAGAGCGAGAGCAACUUACGGUCUUAUGGAGCUAAAAACUGAGCAGCGAUGGC